rnacentral:rRNA from 1 species
GACGAACGCUGGCGGCGUGCUUAACACAUGCAAGUCGAGCGGUAAGGCCCUUCGGGUACGACGAGCGGCGAACGGGUGAGUAACACGUGGGUGACCUGCCCUCCACUUCGGGAUAAGCCUGGGAAACCGGGUCUAAUACCGGAUAGGACCUCUGGAUGCAUGUCUGGUGGUGGAUAGUCUGUGUCUUGACUGAUGCUGGC